UUGCUUCAGCAGCACAUAUACUAAAAUUGGAAUAAUACUGAGAAAAUUAGCAUGGCCUCAGCACAAAGAUGACUUGAAAAUUCAUGAACCAUUCUAUAUUUUA